GGGAUAGUGUUUCAGUCCAUUUCAGCCAGACUCAAUAAGUCAAAGAUAUUGUAUGUAUAUUUACAUUAUACACGUGGGUAGCGGUAAAACAUUGAAUAGAUAAGAGAAAUUUGUCAAAACAAAAGUUUAAUAUUAAUUACCACUUCUAUAAAAAGCUAUUUGGUAUAACUUAUAAUAAUAUAAAAGUAUAUUUGUUUUUUCAAGAUCUCAACUUGGUAUCCAUUUUCUUAGAAAGGAGGUUAUGGAUUAAAGCAGAGUAAUUCUUAGCAUAUAAUAAAAGAAAUAAUAAUAUAAUUACGAUGACAGUAUAUUCCAUAACAGUAACAUAAGUUGUCAAAACGUAAUAAUAAUUUUUAACACAAAGAUUUAAGUCCAUGUGUUGUAAUACUUUGUAAGUGUUUAAAGAAUUGAAAUUAAAAAUGGUCAAAACAAAGAAGUUAUUAUCAGAGAUUUCUCACCAAAAGCGUAAUCAGCAGAAUAAGAAAAGCCUGAAUCCAUUUGAAGUGCACAUAAAUAAAGAUAAACAAAAUGUUUUGGGAAAAAGAAGUAAAACUGAUAGAGGACUUCCAGGAAUUUCACGUGCAAAAGCAAUUAAUAAACGUAAAGGAACGCUUCUUCAGGAGUAUAAAUUAAAGAACAAAGAUAAUCUAUUUUUGGAUAAGCGUAUAGGUGAGAAAAAUGUUGCCAUGAACGAAGAAGAGAAGGCAAUAGCUAGAUUUGCAGCAGAACGUGUGAAAGCCCAUAAGAAAAAAAGUAUUUACAAUUUAAAUGAUGAGGAAAUAUUAACGCACAGAGGACAAACCUUAGAAGAAAUUGAAAAAUUUGAUGAUCCAAAGAGUGAUGAUGAAUUCAGUGAAGAUGAAAAUACAACUGGAAAAUUACAUGAUAAAUUUGUUGGAGAGGCUCAUUUCGGUGGUGGAAUUUUAUCAAAAUCAGACUCCCAAAAAUCUAGAAAAGAUAUCAUAGAUGAACUUAUAGCUGAAUCAAAGAAACGAAAAGCUGAGAAGCAGAAGAUACGCGAACAAACUAUAGACCUAACAGAAAAACUUGAUUCUGAAUGGAGAGAUCUUCUUCCAAUUAUAUCAACUGCUAAUAAGAAUAUUGAAGAGACAGUUGAAAAAACAAAAGCUGAUGAUUAUGACAUUGCUGUACGUGAAUUGAAAUAUGAAGCCAAAGGUAUGCCAUCAGAUAAAUUAAAAUCUGAAGAUGAAAUAAUAAAAGAGGAGAAGGAGAAGCUAGAGGCUCUUGAAUCAGACCGUUUAGCAAGAAUGAAAGGAUUGGUAAGUGAUUCAAAUAGUGAAAUCAAACACAAAUCUGCGGAUGAUCUUGAUGAUGGUUUUGAAUUAGAAACUGUAGAAGAUGAAACAGUAAAUGAUGAAGUUAAUUCAAACAAAAAUUCAGAAAAGAAUUCAAAUAACGAAGAUGCUAGUGAUAUGAGUGAUACUGAAGAUAAUGAUAACGAUGAUGACAAUGAUAAUAACAGUGAUGCUGAUGAUUCAAUUUCCAAUAAUGAUAAAGAAGAAAUUGGAAAUGAAGAGUCAGAUGCUGUUGAAAUGAAUGGCAUUGUUAAAAAAGAAACAGAUACUGAGAAUUCUGUUGAAAGUGAAUUGGAUGAAAAUUCAAAUGUAGAAAAAUUUGAAAGUUCUGAAGAAGACAAUCUAUCAGAUUUAAAAGAGUCAGAAUCUUCUAGCGAAGAUGAAACUGAUACUGAAAUUACCUCAAAAGAGAAAUUAACUCUGAAGUCAGAAAAUGAUACAAAAAUUCUCAAACUGAAUGACCAAACCAGAGAACAAGAGAUUAGAGAUGACCUUUUAAAAAGAAAAGAAAUCAUGGAAAAUGCAAGAAAAGAAUUACCUUAUACCUACAAAAUACCAGAAAGUUUUGAGGAAUUGCAAGAAUUAUUACAUAAUCGUAAUCCUGACUAUCAGUCGCUUAUUGUAGAUCGUAUUAUUAAAUGCAACCACUGGUCUCUAGAUAAUAAAAAUAAAGAAAAAUUAUCAAACUUAUUUUUAUUACUAUUACAACACUUAAAUGACUGUGCUGUCGAGGAUGAUGUUGAAAGCGUGAUCAAAUGUUUUCAAAUUAUUGAUAGACUGUCCCCUUUCUUAUACGAUCUUGCACAUGUAGAUCCACAAAAUACUAAAAAUGUUAUGCAGGCAAUAAUUAAAGAAAAACACGAAGAGUUUGAGAAAAACAAAAAGAGAUAUCCUAGUUUAGACACGCUUAUUUUCUUCAAAUUAGUUUCUUUAAUAUUUCCAACGUCUGACUAUAGACAUCCUGUUACCACUCCUUGUUUAAUAUUUAUGUCUCAAAUAUUAUUCAGAUGUCGUAUUAAAAACAAAGUGGAUGUCUCAAAAGGUCUUUUUAUAUGCACACUUAUUUUGGAGUAUACGGUACUAAGCAAAAGAUUUGCUCCAUCUGUAAUCAAUUUCUUACGUGGAGUAAUAUACGUAUCUACGCCUAAACACCUGAUUCAAGGAAUAAAAAUGAUACCACCGUUUAAAACAGCAGGAGAGUUGAGUAACUUAUUAAUCCUUUACGAGGACAAAACUGAUUUAGAUAUCGAGCCAAAUACCACAUCUAUGAAAGCAAGCGAUUUAACAGACGGAGAGAUGGACGAUGAAUUUAAGAUAAGAGCUCUUCUAACGGCUGUGAAUUUAUUAAACGAAUUUAAAAACCAUCUAGAACAACUUGACGCUGUGUAUUCUAUAUUCGAGCCGGUUGUUAAAUUACUCAAGCCGAAUAGCUAUGAUAAGUAUCCGCAAAGUGUGAGGAAGUCUGUUAAACAAUUGCGAAAAGACUUGAAAGCAUUGAAGAAUAAGAAACUAGAAUAUAUUGUGCUUGAAAAGAAGAAGCCAAAACCAUUGAGAUUGUACGAGCCUCGAAUUGAAGCAGUGUAUGACGGUAAGAAACACAGGACCACGUCUAAGGUGAAAGCAGAACGGGAAAAAUUAUUACAUAAAUACAAGAAGGAAAUGAAAGGUGCUAUGCGUGAAAUACGAAGGGACAGGGCUUUCCUGGCGAAACUACAAAUAAAGGAACAAAUUAAAAACGACGAAGAACGGAAACGCAAAGUUAGAGAAAUCUUUGGUGACGCUGCUAUGCAGCAGAAUGAAUUAAAGAAGUUGAAAAGGAAGAAGUAACAAUUGUAGAAUAAGUAUAUCUCCUACACACACAUUAGUGUAUCUUAAAUAUUAACAUCUCGUAGAGGAAAUACAAAUAAUUUGGAGUAAAAUAACGCGAAAUCUCGACGACAUUAAGAACUUCAACAUUUCCAGACAAUGAUACAAGCUUCCUUACAUUUUUCAUUCAUCUUUAAUAUAAUGCAGCUUAUAUUUUUAAUAUAAUUGUAUUAUACAGACUACAAUUAUUUUUAGGUAAUAAAAUGUACAUAAACGAU